rnacentral:rRNA from 1 species
AGAGUUUGAUCCUGGCUCAGAGCGAACGCUGGCGGCGUGCUUAACACAUGCAAGUCGAAUGCACAGCAUUCUGUAGCAAUACAGAGCGUGGGCGCAUGGCGAACGGGUGCGUAACACGUGGGCAACCUUCCCUUCGGUGGGGGAUACCCCCGCGAAAGCGGGACUAAUACCGCAUAACACUCCCUUGGUUAGUUCUGAGGGAUUCAAAGCAGCAAUGCGCCGGAAGAGGGGCCCGCGGCCGAUUAGCUAGUUGGUGAGGUAACGGCUCACCAAGGCAAAGAUCGGUAGCCGGUCUGAGAGGAUGAUCGGCCACACUGGAACUGAGACACGGUCCAGACUCCUACGGGAGGCAGCAGUGGGGAAUCUUGCACAAUGGGCGAAAGCCUGACGCAGCGACGCCGCGUGGGGGAUGAAGCUUUUCGGAGCGUAAACCCCUUUCGACCCGGACGAAUGCCCGCAAGGGCUUGACGGUACGGGUAGAAGAAGCCCCGGCUAACUACGUGCCAGCAGCCGCGGUAAAACGUAGGGGGCCAGCGUUGCUCGGAAUUACUGGGCGUAAAGGGUCUGUAGGCGGUGCGGCAAGUCGGAAGUGAAAUCUCCGGGCUUAACUCGGGGGCUGCUCUCGAAACUGCCGUGCUCGAGUGUGAGAGAGGCGAGUGGAAUUGCAGGUGUAGCGGU